GGCAGCUAAAGAAUUCAGGGAGGGGAAAAAAAAAUUCACUGUUCAGUGAGUGCAGCUGAGAGUCUCUGAGCCCAGCCGUCAGUGCCAGGGCUGGACCCACAGCGGGUGUCGGGGGCCGGCGGGCUCCCCGCGCUCCGAGGCGAGCCGGGAGCGCUCACGCACCGCCGGCCGCCCCCCUUCUGGCGGUGGGUUCGGUCCUCGCAGCCGCCGCACGGGCAGGGCGGCCGCUGCCACCGCGGUAGUCACCUAGCGCGGGCGGCCCGAUCUGCUGGCUACUCCACAAGCCUCCCAACUCCGCGCUGGAGCGCUUGCCCGGCUCUGUUCUCGCCUCGAGGAGCAGCCACUAGCGAACCCGGUGGAGCAGCUUGCGGCGAGAAGGAGCCGGGAGGGAAACUGUGAACCACUGGAAUAUCCUGCAAGGCCUUGCACUGUAUAAGAGCAUUCUGUUUCCAGAGUAUUCGAAAAAGCCAUUGUCUGAACCAAGGGAGCCCAGAUGCUAGAACUAAAACAGUUAGAGAAAGAAGAUGAAGAAAAAACAACCCAUUUUGUUGGCUGAACUGGACUUUGGAAAUGUGGGCAGACUAUUCCUGGGGAGACCCAACUACGCAUUUGGCUCUGUCACUGGUUGGAAACUUACAAGGCAGUCUACAUCUUUGUGGUUCAGUUUCCGCACCUACUGCUAUUUAUCUCAUAAGGAACUUCUGAAAUUA